GUGAAGAAGAAAUUCCUCGAACUCGAUAAGUAAUCGUUACCGCUUGUAAACAUGCUUGAUGAUGCUCGCGGAAUAUAGCAUCCUAACCUGAAACCGGUGUUUUCUAGAUUCUACAAGUUUUCGGAACAAUAUGUUUUAGAUGUCAGAGUCCAAACAGUUUAAUGCAGAGGACUCAAUCACAGUCCUUAGUGGUACUGAUUCACCCAUGAUAAUGCCUAUAGAGAAUAAUACUUUAGAAUGUUUAACAACAUAAUUUCCAAAUGCGAAUGGUCUGCUGUGGACUGAUCAAACAGGAAGAUGCCAUGGAUUGAAAAUAAAUAAUGGGCAGAUGUCCAUAAUACCACAGAUACGUACAUACACAGUACGUUAGGUUAAAUUUCAACAAAGAAGUAGUGAUGCUAGUAACGUUAGCAGCAGUAGCAGUAACGCAAACAAAUCCUCAGGCGUUGUGAAAGCUGCUGAUUCAGCAAAAUUAGACCGAAUCAUUUUUUACAGAAAAGUGAUUGAAGGUAAAGAUGUUGGGGAUGUGCCUCCAAUUAUGUCAAAACUUAACAAAGUAUCUGAAGCUAAUGAUAGAAGAUCUAAGAUUUCUGACUUGAGAAAAGCACAAAAGCAAGAAAAGUCAUGUUCUGCACCUAAACUGAAGUACGUAAACAUAGGAUGGAAACACAGACAAAUUGGUCAGAAGAAGUAUUUACAUAGAAAAAAUAUUAAAAAUGGAAAGUCAAGAGAAUCAACAUUAGAUAUCUCCAAAGUAUUUACGGUUAGCGAUAUAAUCAAAUUAGGUAUCGAAGAAUACUCUAAUAAUCAAGUAGCAGAAAUUGUUUUCAGACCAGGAUAAAUCAAGUAUUUUUUAUAAUGACUUUCAAAAUUCUAACGUUUUUUAUAAUGUGGAUAAGGAGAAUUUCGACCCUGUAGAUAAUGGAUAUGACAUAAGUAAAGUUGUCAUUAAUCAGCAUGAGGUUUUAUCAAUGAAGUAUGAUAUAAUUGAUCCCUCAUGUUUCUGCAGGACUUAUACCUUUCCGCAAUUAGAGAAAGUUGAAGCACAUACUAUAGCGUAUGAUAUUGAUGAUACAUUAGGGUCAUACGAUGAAUAUUUAGGAAUAGGUGUAAUUCCAACUUGUAUACAAGACUGCAAACCAGAAUUUACGUGGUAUUGCAAUAAUGUGAUGCAUAAAAAUCGAAAAUGUGAUUUUGGUUGCAAAUACCUAAAUCUAAUAUUGAUACGGAUAUUGGAGUCCAAAAAGAUUGUAAUCAAAGCGAAAAUUUUAAAAAAUUCGACUGUAUCUGAAGUGCAAAGGUCAGAGUUUACAAUUGAGACUUUUAUUGGUGCUAGGACUACAGCAAGAAUUUUUUAAAGGGAAAAUUUAGUUAUGCAACUGUCGCUGUAAAAAGUAUAAAAGUUUAUCUGAGAUAUAAGAACCUGAUUGACAGAGAAAUAAGUGUUUUAAGGAAAAUAAAACACGAUAAUCUCAUUCAGUUGAUGGAAUAUUGCAAAGAGCUAAAGCAUGUUCAAAAGCAUAUAAUGGAAUACUUUGAUGGCAAGAAUUUGCACGAAUUGAUUUUUGAUGAUGAUUUAAAAAAAGAGUAUGUGUUUGAUAAGAACGAAAAGAUUCCAUUUUCUUACAAUUGGGUAUUUCAGUCGAUUACCUCCAUAGACAGUCAAAUCCAAUUAUUCAUAAAGAUAUUAAGUCAGAGAAUGUUCUCAUUACUCUAAGUGGCAAAGUAAAACUCUGUGAUUUCGGACUCUAAAGUAAUGGGAACGAAAAUAUACAUGGCAUCAGAAAUUAUUUUACAUAAAAAAGACGCAACAGAAAAAAGUGAUGUAUGGUCACUAGCCAGCACCAUUCCUGAAAUAUACAAAGAAGAUGUGAUUUGGGAUGUAGAAUCUGAAGAUGAAUUAAUACGUGCAUUAAGUUUAUAAAAAAUAGAUUAGAAAAACUGUUGUAGUCUUCCUUUUCAAAAGAUUUCAGAAGAUAUUUUUGAUCAGCUGUGAGUUGGAUAGCAUUAAAACUAAUUUAUAAGAAAUUAGAUUAGAAAAAGAUCAGUUUAAAUAACAUCAAAAAAUCAAGAAACUGAUUGAAGAUUAUAGAAAUUAUAUCAUAAAAAUACCAGUUACAAUAUAAAGAUCAGUUUUUUGAAACGAUCU
rnacentral:lncRNA from 1 species